AUUGAACGCUGGCGGCAUGCUUUACACAUGCAAGUCGAACGGUAACAGGCCGCAAGGUGCUGACGAGUGGCGAACGGGUGAGUAAUGCAUCGGAACGUGCCCAGGCGUGGGGGAUAACUACUCGAAAGAGUAGCUAAUACCGCAUACGAUCUUUGGAUGAAAGCGGGGGACCGUAAGGCCUCGCGCGAUUGGAGCGGCCGAUGUCAGAUUAGGUAGUUGGUGGGGUAAAGGCUCACCAAGCCAACGAUCUGGAGCUGGUCUGAGAGGACAACCAGCCACACUGGGACUGAGACACGGCCCAGACUCCUACGGGAGGCAGCAGUGGGGAAUUUUGGACAAAGGGCGCAAGCCUGAUCCAGCAAUGCCGCGUGCAGGAAGAAGGCCUUCGGGUUGUAAACUGCUUUUGUACGGAACGAAACGGCUCUGGUUAAUACCCGGGGCUAAUGACGGUACCGUAAGAAUAAGCACCGGCUAACUACGUG
rnacentral:rRNA from 1 species